AGGAUGGACUUAUGGCGCAUUAGCUAGUUGGUAGGGUAACGGCCUACCAAGGCGACGAUGCGUAGCCGACCUGAGAGGGUGGACGGCCACACUGGGACUGAGACACGGCCCAGACUCCUACGGGAGGCAGCAGUAGGGAAUUUUCGGCAAUGGGGGGAACCCUGACCGAGCAACGCCGCGUGAGGGAGGAAGUAUUUCGGUAUGUAAACCUCUGUUAUAAAGGAAGAACGGUGCAUGUAGGGAAUGACAUGCAAGUGACGGUACUUUAUGAGGAAGCCACGGCUAACUACGUGCCAGCAGCCGCGGUAAUACGUAGGUGGCGAGCGUUAUCCGGAAUUAUUGGGCGUAAAGAGGGAGCAGGCGGCAGCUAAGGUCUGCGGUGAAAGCCCGAAGCUAAACUUCGGUAAGCCGUGGAAACCGAGCAGCUAGAGUGCAGUAGAGGAUCGUGGAAUUCCAUGUGUAGCGGUGAAAUGCGUAGAUAUAUGGAGGAACACCAGUGGCGAAGGCGACGAUCUGGGCUGCAACUGACGCUCAGUCCCGAAAGCGUGGGGAGCAAAUAGGAUUAGAUACCCUAGUAGUCCACGCCGUAAACGAUGAGUACUAAGUGUUGGGG
rnacentral:rRNA from 1 species